UUGUUAUUUCUGUAUUUCAAUUAUAUGACUGUUUUGAUUUCUUCCUAAUUGUAUUUUGUCUCUUUAAGCACUUUUUGUUUAAGCUCAUGCAAAAUGAAGAAGGUGAUGGAUUUCGUUUGUGUGUGACUCCCAUAAAAGAAAGAAGAACAUGCUGCAAUAAAUGAAAGGAGUUGUAACGUCAAAAACUGAUAUGAAAGCAACUAAAGCUGUGAUGCAAAUCAAUAGUGGAGCUAAAUGACAAUGAGGGGUAAAUUACUCUGACAAAAGCGUACAAAGAUUUCUUAGUUUGUUGUAAUAUUAUGGAAAAUUUCCAGAGAAUUUAUUUCAGUGAUAUUUUUUUCGUGUAGAAAUUAUUAGCAGCUUAUGUACUGUUUGAAGAAAGAAUUAUUUCAUUUCAACAUGUUUUUUAAAAACAUUUCUAACUUUUGAAAAAUUCCCAGGAAUUUUUAUAAAUUGGUCCGAAAAUAUGUGUUUUAUGACUGUAAUGUUUGUUGAAUUUUUGGUGAUUUUCACCAAAAGUACGAUAAUCUGGAGUAAUUUACCCCGCGUUGAUGACAAGAAGCCAAUAGACUCAAAAACAGUGAAUUCGUUUCGACCAUCUAAGCAAUGGAGUUAAAGAAAAAUAUGUUGUGAACAUCUCAGCAGUUGGACUAAAUUACUAUUUCAAUGAAAUGUUGAUGUUAUUGGGGAAGAAACUGGGCUAAGUCUUUAGAGAUUAUGGACUAUAGAUGAAAAACAGAAUUGAUAUUGCUUUUGAGAUGACACAUCGUCAAAGAUUGUGAGCAGUGGAGUUCAAUGUAAUGAACAUUGGUGCGCUACAAAUGCAAAAGAAGUGUGUUAGAAAGAAGUAAAAGUCAAUGGACUCUGGCUGCAAAUGGAGUAAUUGGGAGAAAAUUGCACGUUGUGUCAGCAGAUAAUGGACAACAAACAUGGAGCUCUCUGCGGUUCACGUAUUGCCUCUAUGUUGUCAAGUACAUCUGAAAGAGUGUUGUUUGAUUGCAAAGGUUGAUCUGCUCUCUGACUUUGAGAUGUGCUAGCUGCUUGUACAUGAUCAGAGAGAUCAAAAGAAAUCAUGUGACGUACAUCGGUUUGCUGCAGACGGAGUUUUAUCCUAUUAUUUUUAAUGCAUAUCAUGUUUGCAACUGCAUUUUGAUACUCGUUGAAUCUGUCAAAAGCGGCCAGGUCAAAAUCUUGAGGUUUAGGACCAAAAUAAUGAAGACGUACAUGUGAAUCAUGAGAAAGAAAUCAAAAUUGUUAGAACCCCUUUCUUUUGCUUCUAAAAUGUUAUCGUGUAACAAGACCAGUUGUAUAGUGGGAUGAGUUGAUUGUAAAUAUAUUUUUUUCAACAUGGUUCGUUGACAUUGAGUGUAAAAUGUAUUCUCGGACAGCGUCAAAGGAAUUGUCUUGGAGGCAAAAUGAUCAAAAAUAGGAUUUAGGGUCAUGAUAGAACGACCUUGCUUACAUACUUUAUUAAACGUCGAUUGCAAAGUUUUGUAAUAACUUUUCAUAUUUUUAAUAGCCUUGGGUAAUUUUUCUUGUGUCUUUGAUCUUUCUUUUAUCAUUAAAUCUUUGAACAACA